rnacentral:rRNA from 1 species
GAAGGGGGCUAGCGUUACUCGGAAUUACUGGGCGUAAAGGGCGCGUAGGCGGCACCGUCAGUCAGGCGUGAAAUUCCUGGGCUCAACCUGGGGACUGCGCUUGAUACGGCGGAGCUAGAGGAUGGAAGAGGCUCGUGGAAUUCCCAGUGUAGAGGUGAAAUUCGUAGAUAUUGGGAAGAACACCGGUGGCGAAGGCGGCGAGCUGGUCCAUUACUGACGCUGAGGCGCGACAGCGUGGGGGAGCAAACAGGAUUAGAUACCCUGGUAGUCCACGCCGUAAACGAUGUGCGCUGGAUGUUGGGUGACCCUAGUCACUCAGUGUCGUAGCUAACGCGAUAAGCGCACCGCCUGGGGAGUACGGCCGCAAGGUUG